rnacentral:rRNA from 1 species
GAUGAACGCUGGCGGCGUGCCUAAUACAUGCAAGUCGAGCGAACGGACGAGAAGCUUGCUUCUCUGAUGUUAGCGGCGGACGGGUGAGUAACACGUGGAUAACCUACCUAUAAGACUGGGAUAACUUCGGGAAACCGGAGCUAAUACCGGAUGAUAUUUUGAACCGCAUGGUUCAAAAGUGAAAGACGGUCUUGCUGUCACUUAUAGAUGGAUCCGCGCUGCAUUAGCUAGUUGGUAAGGUAACGGCUUACCAAGGCAACGAUGCAUAGCCGACCUGAGAGGGUGAUCGGCCACACUGGAACUGAGACACGGUCCAGACUCCUACGGGAGGCAGCAGUAGGCAAUCUUCCGCAAUGGGCGAAAGCCUGACGGAGCAACGCCGCGUGAGUGAUGAAGGUCUUCGGAUCGUAAAACUCUGUUAUUAGGGAAGAACAUAUGUGUAAGUAACUGUGCACAUCUUGACGGUACCUAAUCAGAAAGCCACGGCUAACUACGUG